UGGUUUUUCCUCACUAUACACUUCUGACACCAAAUGUGUGGGUUUUCCAACACCAACCAAUUCUCUAAUUCUCUGUGGACAUCAAUUGGGUGUCUACAAUU